AGUGAACGCUAGAGGUAUGCUUUACACAUGCGAGUUUUAACAAUUUUUUAAAAAAAAUUGUGGCGUCCGGGUGAGUAAUAUGUAAAUUACUGCCUUAUAUCUAGGUUGAAAAAACUUAUUUUUUUAUUUAAAAAAUCUUAAUUGUUAUAAAUAAAAAAAAUAAAUUUAAUUUGAUAUGAGAUGGAUUUGCACAGAUUUAGAUAGUAAGGGGUAUAAAAGACCACUUAGUCGACAAUUCUUAGCUGGUUUGGGAGAAUGAACAGCCACAUUGGGAUUGAAAUAAGGCCCAAACUUCUUUGAAGGCAGCAGUGAGGAAUAUUGGACAAUGAACAAAAGUUUGAUCCAGCAAUAUCAAGUGAGUGAUGAAGGUUGUGUCUUAUUGUAAAACUCUUUCAGCAGUGAAGAUUAUGACGUUAGCUGCAGAAGAAGUCCCGACCAACUUCGUGCCAGCAGUCGCGGUAAUACGGAGGGGGCAAGCGUUACUCUUCAUAACUGGGUAUAAAGCGUAUUUAGACGGUUUUGGAAGUUUUUGGUAAAAUCUUAAAGCUUAACUGUAAAAUAGCUAAAACAAACUAUUAACUACGGGUUUGGAAGGAAUUGGUUGUAUGUUUUGUGUAAAGGUAAAAUUUUUAAAUAUAAAAAAGACAUUCUUUGGGUGAAAACAACUAAUUAUUUUAAACUGACGUUUAUAUACAAAAGCAUAGGUAUCAAACAGGAUUAGAUACCCUGGUAGUCUAUGCUGUGACCGAUGAGUGUAAAAAGUUUAAAUUUUUUAUGUAUUAAAUUUUUUAGUAAAUGCGUAAACACUCCACCUGGGGACUACGAUCGCAAGAUUAAAACUCAAAGGAACUGGCUGAGAUUUGCACAAGCGGUGGAACAUGUGGUUUAAUUCGAGAUAAAUCGACUAACCUUACCAAUCUUUGAUUUUUAGAUAAUUUAUAUUUUUGUUAAUAUAAAAUUUUUUUUAGUAUUCGAUUACUUUAAAAAUUAAUCUUUACAGGCGUUGCAUGGCUGUCGUCAGUUCGUGUUGUGAAAUGUUCGGUUAAUUGCUUUAACGGACGCAACCCUCGUUUUUUAUUAGUUUUUUAAAAAAGAUUGCCUGUGAAAUACAGACUAUAGAGGAAGAUGGGGAUGAAGUCAAGUCAGUAUGACCCUAAUAGAUUGGGCUACACACGUGUUACAAUGGUAACUUCAAAAAGAUGCAAUUUUGUAAAAAGGAGCAAAUCUAGAAAUAUUACCUUAGUUCGAAUUAUUCUCUGAAACUCGAGAAUAUGAAGUUGGAAUCGCUAGUAAUCGUAAAUCAGCAAGUUACGGUGAAUAUGUUACCAAAUCUAGUACACACUGCCCGUCACGCUAUGGGAAUUAAUUUCACUUAAAGUAUUUUAUGUAGCAUUUACUAUAAUUUAUUAUGAGAUUUUUUUUAAAAUUAGAUAUCUAAUAGUAAGUGUUAUGUAAGUUAUGAAUUUGUAGUUAAGGACUGAAGUG
rnacentral:rRNA from 1 species